AUGAGGCAAGCUGAUCCUGAAAAGAAACGACCACACAGAUCAAAGGUUUAUUUAGGAACUCGCAAUAAGAAGGAUGAUGCUAAUGCUAAAAAUAAAGAUAGAAAUAAGCACCUAGAUCGACUGGAGAAUCUAAUAACUGAACGACCAGAGUUGGCACAAAAUUUGAAUGUAAGAGCCGCAUGGGAAGGUGAUGCCUUGCAGGAAGUGUUAGGGAAAGAAAAGAUUGGACAAGUGCAUGGCAUGGGUUUGCUUCCAACUCCUAAGCAAGUCUACGGUCGGACGCCACGGUAUCUGCUACCUCUUGAGCACUGCAUUGGUUUUCCCUCGAAGAGGAAAGGGUGA
rnacentral:rRNA from 1 species